UUGACUUUGCUGAGAUAUGAAGCAUCCUCUGACUCAGUGCAGGACAGAGGACAACAGCAGGAUUUGGUGUACGCACAGGUGAAAGUCAACAAGCCAGAAAACUGUUUAACACAGAGGAACUCUGAGGCGAAGAAAAUAUGAAUGUCUAAAAAGAGAUCACAUUACAGAAACGUGUUAACAAAGAAAAACACACGUGCUAACACAGCAGCCAGACCCAGAACUUCAGCAGAAAAUGUUAUUUGCAGCAUCAGUUCACUUCAUCCUCAACUUCAUCCAACACUUUUCUUGACAAAUGAUAUUUUCCCUCCUCUUGUUUGUGUAACCAAAACUUGAGUCACAGACUGAAUCAAACAUAGAACAAACCUGAUGACGUGAUUCGAACACAUCCAGAUUGGAGUAUUUUGGUGGAUUCAGCCCACAAACAGCUGAAAACAGUGGUUGUCAUAACAAACAUCUUUUUCUUUUUUCAUAUAUUUUAUGUUAUAAACUGGGUUUAUUGUGCACCAAACUGAAUUACUAAGCAUGUUAAUACUGGGAGAAAUGAGCAUUUGCUGAAGCACACUGUUCAUCACAGUCACAGCUGGCUGUCUUUAACACUCUCAACAUUUUUCUGUCUUAAUUUGUACGCUGACUUAUCCAAACCUGUGCUAAUUAAUGAUAGUGUGCAUUAAUAUGUUGUCUUGUUCAGGAGUGUGCAACACUCAUUGCCUCAUUGUUUCACAGAAUAAUAUUAUUCAUUUUCUGCAAAUGUGUCCAGAAGGUGUCACUGUGGAGAUCAGUGUCAAACUAUUUCAUCCGUGUCAGUGUUUCACAAAGCCUUACUUUACCUACCACACUGAGUAGGUCAAAUUUCAGGCAAUAAGUGAAGAGAAGAGUUGGAAUGACUCUGGAGGAGGAAACAAAACAAGUGGUUGUAAAGGUCAUCCUUACGGAGGGCUGACUGAACAGUGCGUGGCUUUAGCAGCCUCAGUCUCUUCUUGUGAGGAGUUUGCAUGUUCUCCCCAUGUUACCAUGUUGUUCUCUGAUUUUUCCCACUAUCCACAAAAGUCCAACUUAUUGGAAAUUCUCAAUCAUCCACUUAAUCUGUCUCUUAAUUUGAAAAUAAAGCUGAUUAUCUGGGCAUUAAA